AGCGGCGGACGGGUGAGUAACACGUGGGCAACCUGCCCUGAAGCGGGGGAUAACAUUUGGAAACAGGUGCCAAUACCGCAUAACAACCAAAAGCACAUGCUUUUGGUUUUGAAAAGAUGGUUUUUGGCUAUCACUUCAGGAUGGGCCCGCGGUGCAUUAGCUUGUUGGUAGGGUAAAAAGCCUACCAAGGCGAUGAUGCAUAGCCGAGUUGAGAGACUGAUCGGCCACAAUGGAACUGAGACACGGUCCAUACUCC
rnacentral:rRNA from 1 species